rnacentral:tRNA from 1 species
GCUGGGGUCAUGGCUCAGAGAAAGAGCGCUUGCCUAGCAUGUGUGAGGCCCUGGGUUCGAUCCUCAGCACAACA